UUGAAGUGCAACCAGGCUUAAGACUUGGAAACUGGCCUUCUUUUUGUCUCUCGGAAGGAUAUUAGAUUGCAAAGGUGAUCAGAGGCUUAUGGAGAAACACAAAAGCAGCAUCCGUGAGGCACGAACUUCACAUACUCAACCCAGGCUUCCGGUCUGUGCUCACCUUCGAGGCCAGCCGAGCCUUACUGCCGUUUAUGACUCAUUCCUAGUAGAUGCUCCCUGUCCGGCACUGCUCUCAGCCAGCCGCAUUUUGCUGUGAGUUUUCAGGGUUGGGGGACAAAGACUGCUAAGGACAAACGUAAGCGUCACAGAAGGCUGCCGCGCUGCUGCUGCUAGCCAGGGUAAGACUGCCAAGACCCGGGGACGCCCUCUCUAAGAUGCGCCUCUCUGUCGGCUGACACGCAGGACGUCCCUGCGAACCUUCAGCGUAAAUGAAAUGCCCUUUCAACAGGAGCGUGACAGAGUGCCGUCCCCAAGUCCGGCAUGUUCCCUUCUGUAGGACCCCCGGGGGUGACUCUCCCUCUCUUCCUCGUGCUAGCUAAGUGCAUGAUCCUGACCCGGAUUCGUGUGUGCAUAAUCACAGAAUGCCGCAGCCGAGACACCGAAGCCAAGGACCCUAAUGUGACCUCUAAGACACAUCAUCCUGCGACUCGGGACACGGGCACAGGCCAGCGGGGCAAAGCAGGUUGCAGGAGACCAAGCAGGCACCUUCCAUGGAACAGCAGAGACAGCUGGGGGAGGGGCGGGACUAAGGGGGUGGCUCAUUUGGCCAAGUAUGAGACAUGAAAGUAUGAGACAUGAGUUUGCAUGCCCAGCACUCCUGGAGCAGCCAGAUGUGGCUGCGGGGCUUGAUGUGACUCCGUGAAGCUCCUUGGUCAUCCAGUCUAGUUAAAUCUGUGAGCUCCGGGUCAAGCCUCAAAAAAUAGUGUAGAGACCAUCAAGGAAGACACACAA